UACUAUUUAUUCGAAAUGGUA
rnacentral:piRNA from 1 species